UUCAAUUUGGCAGAAAAAUAUGCAAUAAAUUUAGAAUUUAUUUAUGAUUUAUAAUCAAUUGAAA
rnacentral:tRNA from 2 species